CGCCGCGUGAGUGAAGAAGGUUUUAGGAUCGUAAAGCUCUGUCUUCAAGGACGAAUGUGCAUAUUGUGAAUAAUGACAUGUAAUGACGGUACUUGAGGAGGAAGCCACGGCUAACUACGUGCCAGCAGCCGCGGUAAUACGUAGGUGGCAAGCGUUGUCCGGAAUUAUUGGGCGUAAAGCGCGCGCAGGCGGGAAUGUAAGUCUGUCUUAAAAGUUCGGGGCUCAACCCCGUGAUGGGAUGGAAACUACAUUUCUUGAGUGCAGGAGAGGACAGUGGAAUUCCCAGUGUAGCGGUGAAAUGCGUAGAUAUUGGGAGGAACACCAGUGGCGAAGGCGACUGUCUGGACUGUGUCUGACGCUGAGGCGCGAAAGCCAGGGGAGUGAACGGGAUUAGAUACCCCGGUAAUCCUGGCCGUAAACGAUGGGUACUAGGUGUAGGAGGUAUCGACCCCUUCUGUGCCGGAGUUAACGCAAUAAGUACCCCGCCUGGGGAGUACGGCCGCAAGGUUGAAACUCAAAGGAAUUGACGGGGGCCCGCACAAGCGGUGGAGUAUGUGGUUUAAUUCGACGCAACGCGAAGAACCUUACCAGGACUUGACAUCGAUUGAAAGGCCUAGAGAUAGGUCCCAUCCCUUCGGGGAACAAGAAGACAGGUGGUGCACGGCUGUCGUCAGCUCGUGUCGUGAGAUGUUGGGUUAAGUCCCGCAACGAGCGCAACCCUUAUCCUAUGUUGCCAGCACGUAAAGGUGGGAACUCAUGGGAGACUGCCGCAGACAAUGCGGAGGAAGGCGGGGAUGACGUCAAGUCAUCAUGCCCCUUAUGUCCUGGGCUACACACGUACUACAAUGGGCUUAAAUAGAGGGAAGCGAAGC
rnacentral:rRNA from 1 species